GGUUCCUACGGGGGGCAGCAGUCGGGAAUAUUGCACAAUGGGGGAAACCCUGAUGCAGCGACGCCGCGUGAAGGAAGAAGUAUUUCGGUAUGUAAACUUCCAUCAGCAGGGAAGAAAGUGACGGUACCUGACUAAGAAGCCCCGGCUAACUACGUGCCAGCAGCCGCGGUAAUACGUAGGGGGCAAGCGUUAUCCGGAUUUACUGGGUGUAAAGGGAGCGUAGACGGCUGUGCAAGUCUUAAGUGAAAGCCCGUGGCUCAACCGCGGAACUGCUUUGGAAACUGUAUCGCUU
rnacentral:rRNA from 1 species